CUACGGGUUGCAGCAGUGAGGAAUAUUGCACAAUGGGGGGAACCCUGAUGCAGCAACGCCGCGUGGAGGAUGACGCAUUUCGGUGUGUAAACUCCUUUUAUAUGUCAAGAAAAUGACGGUAGCAUAUGAAUAAGCACCGGCUAACUCCGUGCCAGCAGCCGCGGUAAUACGGAGGGUGCAAGCGUUACUCGGAAUCACUGGGCGUAAAGGACGCGUAGGCGGGUUGGAAAGUCAGGUGUGAAAUCCUACAGCUUAACUGUAGAACUGCACUUGAAACUUCUAAUCUAGAGUAUGGGAGGGUGGAGAUGGAAUUACUGGUGGAGGGGUAAAAUCCGUAGAUAUCACUAGGAAUACCGAAAGCGAAGGCGAUCUCCUGGAACAUUACUGACGCUAAGGCGUGAAAGCGUGUGGAGCAAACAGGAUUAGAUACCCCGGUAGUC
rnacentral:rRNA from 1 species